rnacentral:rRNA from 1 species
CGGAUUAAGGAAACCGGCGCACGGGUGCGUAACGCGUAUGCAACUUGCCCUUAUCAGGAGGAUAGCCCGGGGAAACUCGGAUUAAUACUCCAUGAGAUUUUGAUUGGCAUCGAUUAAAAUUGAAAGAUUUAUUGGAUAAGGAUAGGCAUGCGUCAGAUUAGUUAGUUGGUAGUGUAACGGACUACCAAGGCGAUGAUCUGUAGGGGGCCUGAGAGGGUGAACCCCCACACUGGUACUGAGACACGGACCAGACUCCUACGGGAGGCAGCAGUGAGGAAUAUUGGACAAUGGAGGGAACUCUGAUCCAGCCAUCCCGCGUGCAGGAAGACGGCCUUAUGGGUUGUAAACUGCUUUUGUAUGGGGAUAAAUCUACUUACGUGUAGGUAGUUGAAGGUACCAUACGAAUAAGCAUCGGCUAACUCCGUGCCAGCAGCCGCGGUAAUACGGAGGAUGCAAGCGUUAUCCGGAUUCAUUGGGUUUAAAGGGUCCGUAGGCGGGCUGAUAAGUCAGUGGUGAAAUUUUGUCGCUUAACGAUAAAACUGCCAUUGAUACUGUUAGUCUUGAGUGAUAUUGAAGUAGCUGGAAUGUGUAGUGUAGCGGUGAAAUGCAUAGAUAUUACACAGAACACCGAUUGCGAAGGCAGGUUACUAAGUAUUAACUGACGCUGAAGGACGAAAGCGUGGGGAGCGAACAGGAUCAGAUACCCUGGUAGUCCACGCA